UGAGGAAUAUUGGUCAAUGGGUGCAAGCCUGAACCAGCCAUCCCGCGUGAAGGACGACUGCCCUAUGGGUUGUAAACUUCUUUUGUAUAGGGAUAAACCUACCCUCGUGAGGGUAGCUGAAGGUACUAUACGAAUAAGCACCGGCUAACUCCGUGUCAGCAGCCGCGGUAAUACGGAGGGUGCAAGCGUUAUCCGGAUUUAUUGGGUUUAAAGGGUCCGUAGGCGGACUUAUAAGUCAGUGGUGAAAGCCUGUCGCUUAACGAUAGAACUGCCAUUGAUACUGUAAGUCUUGAGUAUAUUUGAGGUAGCUGGAAUAAGUAGUGUAGCGGUGAAAUGCAUAGAUAUUACUUAGAACACCAAUUGCGAAGGCAGGUUACCAAGAUAUAACUGACGCUGAGGGACGAAAGCGUGGGGAGCGAACA
rnacentral:rRNA from 1 species